CUGAUCCAGAGCCUAUGCCUUAAGCUGCAAGGUGGAGCUUAUUCCUUGUUAGAAGAAGGAGACUCAGAAGGACACUGAAAGAAGCUUAGGGUAAGGCUCCAAAGGAACAGAGCAUUAGUAAAAGUACAACUUGGUUUCCCCAGGGCUGUUCCUUUUGCGGAUUUUAAAAACCAGUUGCAAAGCACCUUAGAGAUUGCUAAACACUGUUGGUUGUCUGGCUGUCUGUCAUCAGCAAACUUGGGGCUCUCUGUCCAUACGCAAGUCCACUGAGGCCCACAGCCAUUUUGUUUGGACUGGCUGGUGGCAACCCCCGAGCUUGCACAGGAAUGGUUUAUCAUCAACACAAACGUUUCUCUGACAGCUGUUUUCCUGCCCAGCCCAGGGUCCUGGCCAGAGGAAAGGGAAAGGGUUGAAGAAAGAAGUGCCAGUGUCAGCAAGCUGUGCUAGUUGCCUGGCUUCCAGACCUGUGCGAGUCACACACGAGCGUGCGCACGCACACACACUCACACACCCCCCAGAUGGAAGAUCAGAGAAUAAGAAUAGAAUAAGUAGUUUGAUAAAUCUAUUGGUUUUUCCUGUAAAAGAUGCUGGACAAGGAAGUACUCAAUCAUUUCCAGUUAAUAAGACAUGGACUAAGUUUCUACAAAGUACAAGGACUAAGUUUCACGUCCUAUUGCAAAAUCUGCUGGGGGUAUAUGUAUCCACAACUGAACAACACUUAUCCCACCAGCACGGGGUAAGGAACGUGAAAUCGGUAUUGGGUAUAUGAGUACCACAGCUAGUAGAACUGAUAAAACUCAGGGUUGUUGUCAGCUGUGUAAAUGGAGAGAAAGAGGCACCUUCAGAGACUUCCUUUGGGAAAGGCUUGUUUUGUGCUGGUGAACUGCUCCCCCUGGUGGAUCAGCAAUUGAUAGGUCUGUGAUUCCAGACUGUAGGCAACAAACAAGCUUUGAAGAAAACUGGGCAGUCUGAGGUACGCAGAUGUAUCCUCCAGGAUAAAACUAACUUUCAGAGAGCGGAAAAUAAAUGGAAUGCCUAGCACAGCCCCUGAUGGAUUUGGAGCUUAGCUCUCCUGCAAAGCACAUGGAGUUGGUUCUCCCAGACCGACUGGUGUCCACGUGUGUUCUCAUUAUUAUGGUUGUUUUGAAAUCAUGAGUUUGUACUGAUUUGAGAGAUGUGAAAACUCUAAGUUCUGUAUUUUCGUCUCCUUUAAAAAUAAUUCUGGACAGGAUAAACAAGCCACAGCAAGGAGACCAUUUUGCUGUGAAAUCAUUUGCUUCUCUUACUUCCUGUCCGCCCUGCUCCCCUCUCUCUGAGAUGAUCAUGUUGAUGUAGCUAAUUUAUUUCUAGUUCCCUCGUUCUACAUGCCUGCUCUCAAGAUAAAGACAUUCAAGAGUGUCCACAAAUAACCUUAUCUACAAACUAGAAACAGACUCACAGAUGCAGAGAGCAGCCUUGUGGGUGCCAGUCGGGUAGGGGUAAGAUAAGUAUGGACUGAGAGUUUGGGAUGAGCAGAUGCAAGGGAUUCUAUAUAGGAUAGAUAAACAAGAUCCUCCUGUACAGUUUAGGGGAAUAUAUUCAAUAUCCUGUGAUAAACCAUAAUGGAAAAGAAUAUGAAACAGAAUGCAUAUGUAUGUAUCACUGAAUCACUGCGGAAAUUAAC
ensembl:lncRNA